CUGAUCUGAAGAUCCAUGAGCAUAAAAUCCUGGAGAGCAUUAGUCUGAUCUGACUGCAAAAGUUUUGGAAGUUGAGUGAGACAAAGGAGAUGAAAGACUUCAAGCUUCAGUGUCCCUAUCUUCAUACAUGCAGCCCCACAAUUAUGCCUGGGUUUCUCAGUUCAAAGAUCCUCUGUUUUACUUUCUCAAGAGAAUAAGCCUCCAUCCAGUCUUCUAACAAGGGGAAAGGCAGUCACCCAACAGGUGAAAUGGGGAAGGGGAUCUGGAUAUCCAAUUGCUUCUCAGAUUUCACCUAAAUCAUCUUUCUUUAAGCUCCUUACACCCACCUUCUGCACCACACCACCUUCAUUCCCAGUACCACCGCUGUCCAGUGCUGCCAGUUUCCGUGCAGUUUGAAGAUUCUGUGGUUAAUACAGGGUUUGCUAAGCCAUACAUGUUUUGGAGCCCGCUAUUUGAUUGCCAGCGUUUCCUUUCCUAUUCUCCCAUUGCUGGAGGUUCAUG
rnacentral:lncRNA from 10 species